GUUGUGUUUUCUGGGAAUCAGCAAGUAAGAUCACAAGUGGUCUUUUCUUUUAUUCACUCUCUCCCAUAAAGAAAGCUUUAUCACGUGUGGCCUUAAACUUGCAGCAAAUUGCAAAGAAAUGGCUCAAAAGCUUCAGCUCUUUCUGUGCCCUGGGAGCUGAGAUGCACGUCAGUGGCCUUGCCAGCGUGGCCAAUUCUCUGCUGACUGCCAGAAAAAAGAGGCCAGGAAGAAAGAGGAAAGAGAAGAGAUCGCUCAGGGUCUGUGGUGUGUGGUCCAUCCUCUUGCUGAGCACAUUGAAAGGAACUGGCUAUCUUUGAUCUCUUCCUCCAGUUGCAAAUGAAGAGAGAGAGCCUGCAGGCCCCAAGGAUCUUUCCGUUCAUGUCAUUGAGCUUCCUUCCCUCUCUUUUUACAGGGGAUGAACUGUAGCCUCCUUGGAACAUACUACACUUGCAAUAAUUUGCGCAUUAACCAUCAAGACACUUCAGUAAAGCUAUGCAGUGCCAAUAGUUUAAGCUGGAUCCUAUUUUGCCCUAACACAAAGUGAACUGAGAUGACUA
rnacentral:lncRNA from 1 species